GGGCAGGCUCUGCCGGGAAGCUAGUCCCUUCCUGUCACCGCAACCGGGCUAUAUGGCGGGGUGAAGUCUAUUGAGAGGUAGACUGUUGUCACGUCAGUCUUGGUUCUGACGUUGAGGUUCUGUCCCAUAGGAUUCGUUUUAGGAGGAAUCGAGUCAGAUCUUGAUCGAAGCAGCUCUAACUUCUGGAAUGGGUGCUUAUGGGGUAGCGGAACUGAGGAGGAAUCAGGGUAGCUGAUGUGGUUAUGGUCUAUCAAUCAGUGGGCGCGCCUGCCC
rnacentral:SRP_RNA from 1 species